rnacentral:tRNA from 1 species
GACCCGGUAGCUCAGUUGGUAGAGCAACGGACUUUUAAUCCGUAGGUCGCGGGUUCGAGACCCGCCCGGGUUA